rnacentral:rRNA from 1 species
UACGGAGGAUCCGAGCGUUAUCCGGAUUUAUUGGGUUUAAAGGGAGCGUAGGUGGAUUGUUAAGUCAGUUGUGAAAGUUUGCGGCUCAACCGUAAAAUUGCAGUUGAAACUGGCAGUCUUGAGUACAGUAGAGGUGGGCGGAAUUCGUGGUGUAGCGGUGAAAUGCUUAGAUAUCACGAAGAACUCCGAUUGCGAAGGCAGCUCACUGGACUGUUGACUGACACUGAGGCUCGAAAGUGUGGGUAUCAAACAGG